rnacentral:tRNA from 1 species
GGUCCACUGGCCCUCAUGGCGAAGGCACCGCUCUGCAAAAGCGGUCAGCUCGGUUCGAUCCCGAGGUGGACCU